ACCCUGAUAAUUGUUUUCCUAAUUAGCUCACUAGUAUGGGUUAGUUUUGUAGUUAAUAUAAGUAUGAUGAUAUAUAGUACA